AGGGCUUGCAAAUUUCAUAUGUACGACUGUGUGUAUGGUCAUGUGGGGUACUGAUUAUGCAAAUCAGGCUCUUGCGCUCAGCUGGGAUCACUACGUGGCGCAGCUUGUUUUCCUUUCAUUGGCUAUGGAAGUUCGUGUCUCACAAGCAUUUUGAACCAUUUUGUCAGUCCUUCACAUCGAGAAUUCUUGUACAGAGAAGGACCGACAGGCUGACCCGUUGCACAAGGUCUGCAGCCUUUUGCACAAUAUGCGUAUAAAUUGCAUGCAGAUGUGUCAGCCUGAUGCGUGUGGCUCAUUGGAUGAGUGAAUGAUUAAAGCCAAAGGCUGCUUUGCCUUUAGACAAUGUAUAUAUGGGAUAGCGUGACACAUACUAAUAUGUGUAUGGGUUCUAUACGAUGUACACCGGCAGCAGCAGCUAGCCAUGAGAAAGGAAAAGCCAAAUGUCAUCAAGCAGGCCUUCAUCUGGAAGACACGGUCACCACCAGUGUGGUCUACAGACAGUCAUGCAACUGCUGAAUCCACUCUAUCAUCAGGAGUACACGAUCUCAUUGAUCAAUUUUACACAUCAGGAUCUUUGUUUACGGACCAGAUUCCAUGGCUUGUGUUAUAGUUCAGCUGAAACUGAAAGAGCUACCUCAAGGAUUUAAAAUCUAAAGGAAUUUGGAGAAUUACCUAGAGGCUUCUUUGGUACCACAGAGUGGGUACCAUACAGUGGGCCAACAGAAUGAUGUCACCAUAUGCAUGAUGACAAAUCUUCAUGCUGGACACCAUCAUCUACCUUGCCAUCAUUUCAACAGAACACUUGAACAAUAGGAUGGAUACCGCAGAAUCAUUGUUUCCAGACCAGAGGCUAUCACUGCUUACAACAAGCAUAUGGGGCACAUUGAUACAUCAGAUCAAAUCAUGAAAUUAUU